GCGGUGGGGUGGUAACUCUGGGUUCUGCCAUGGAAAUGGUAAGCUGACAUGGUGCACUGGUUGAGCGUGUCUUAUGGAAAGCUGCUUUCACCCUGUCCCUGUUUCAGCUAGUCAUCAAUUUGGUCUGGUGUCCAAGCCCCAUCUCUGGAGUCCAGUUCCACCUCCUACCUCAGCGUGGGCUUUAUUACCUGGCUUGCCUUCUUGAAGUGGCCUCAUGUGGCAGAGAGAAAGCUAGGGAGCUCUCUGGGUUCUCGUCUCAUAAAGACACUAAUUCUAUUAGAUCAGUGCCCAGCUUUAUGACCUCAUUUGACCUUAAUUACUUCCCAUAAAUCCUUUUUUUUUUUUUUGAGACAGAGUCUUACUCUGUCACCCUGGCUGGAGUGCAGUGGCAUGCUCUCGACUCACUGCAACCUCUGCCUCCCAGGUUCAAGCAAUUCUCCUUCCUCAGCCUCCUGAGUAGCUAGGACUACAGGUGCGCACCACCAUGCCUGUCUAAUUUACGUUUAUUUUU
rnacentral:lncRNA from 1 species